rnacentral:rRNA from 1 species
AAGGCCAAUCAAACUCGGAUAUAGCUGGUUCUCCGCGAAAUCUAUUUAGGUAGAGCGUCGCACGAAUACUCUCGGGGGUAGAGCACUGGAUGGGCUAGGGGGCCUCACCGCUUACCAAACCUAACCAAACUCCGAAUACCGAGAAGUACUAUGCGGCAGACACACUACGGGUGCUAAGGUCCGUAGUGGAAAGGGAAACAGCCCGGACCGCCAUCUAAGGUCCCCAAGUUAUGACUAAGUGGGAAAGGAAGUGGGACGGCCAAAACAACCAGGAGGUUGGCUUAGAAGCAGCCAUCCUUUAAAGAUAGCGUAACAGCUCACUGGUCUAAAUAAGCUAUCCUGCGCCGAAAAUGUAACGGGGCUAAAGUCAUACACCGAAGAUGCGGGUGUGCUAGCUUGCUAGCACGCGGUAGCGGAGCGUUCCGUAAGCCUGUGAAGGCGUGACGCGAGUCACGCUGGAGGUAUCGGAAGUGAGAAUGCUGACAUGAGUAACGAUAAGGAGAGUGAGAAACUCUCCCGCCGAAAGUCCAAGGGUUCCUGCACAAUGUUAAUCAGAGCAGGGUUAGCCGGCCCCUAAGGCGAGGGCGAAAGCCGUAGUCGAUGGGAACGGGGUUAAUAUUCCCCGGCCAGUGGGACGUGACGAAUUGCGUAAGUUGUUCCUCCUUAUUGGAUUGGAGGGGCCGCGAAGCAGUUCCAGGAAAUAGCGCCCACAUGAGACCGUACCCUAAACCGACACAGGUGGACUGGUAGAGUAUACCAAGGCGCUUGAGAGAACGAUGCUGAAGGAACUCGGCAAAAUGCCUCCGUAACUUCGGGAGAAGGAGGCCCACCCUCGAGGCAACUCUUGGGUGGGGGCACAGACCAGGGGGUAGCGACUGUUUAUUAAAAACACAGGGCUCUGCGAAGUCGCAAGACGACGUAUAGGGUCUGACGCCUGCCCGGUGCCGGAAGGUUAAGAGGAGAGGUGCAAGCUUUGAAUCGAAGCCCCGGUAAACGGCGGCCGUAACUAUAACGGUCCUAAGGUAGCGAAAUUCCUUGUCGGGUAAGUUCCGACCUGCACGAAUGGCGUAACGACUUCCCCGCUGUCUCCAGCAUCGACUCAGUGAAAUUGAACUCCCCGUGAAGAUGCGGGGUUCCUGCGGUUAGACGGAAAGACCCCGUGCACCUUUACUAUAGCUUUGCAGUGGCAUUAGUGGCGGCAUGUGUAGAAUAGGUGGUAGGCUUUGAAGCGGGGGCGCCAGUUCCCGUGGAGCCGCAAUGUGAAAUACCACCCUUAUCUUCAUUGAUGUCUAACCGCGGACCGUUAUCCGGUUCCGGGACCCUGCAUGGUGGGUAGUUUGACUGGGGCGGUCGCCUCCCAAAGAGUAACGGAGGCGCGCGAAGGUAGGCUCAGGCCGGUCGGAAAUCGGUCGUUGAGUGCAAUGGCAAAAGCCUGCCUGACUGCGAGUCUGACAAGACGAGCAGAGACGAAAGUCGGUCAUAGUGAUCCGGUGGUCCCGCGUGGAAGGGCCAUCGCUCAACGGAUAAAAGGUACGCCGGGGAUAACAGGCUGAUGACGCCCAAGAGUCCAUAUCGACGGCGUUGUUUGGCACCUCGAUGUCGGCUCAUCGCAUCCUGGGGCUGGAGCAGGUCCCAAGGGUUUGGCUGUUCGCCAAUUAAAGCGGUACGUGAGCUGGGUUUAGAACGUCGUGAGACAGUUUGGUCCCUAUCUGCCGUGGGUGUAGGAAACUUGAGAGGAGCUGUCCCUAGUACGAGAGGACCGGGAUGGACAUACCUCUGGUCGAGCUGUUGUCGCGCCUGCGGCAUUGCAGCGUAGCUAAGUAUGGACAGGAUAACCGCUGAAAGCAUCUAAGCGGGAAGCCCCCCUCGAAACAAGGUUUCCCUUGAGAACCGUGGAAGACGACCACGUUGAUAGGCCGGAUGUGGAAGCGCAGCAAUGCGUGAAGCUGACCGGUACUAAUUGUUCGAUAGGCUUGAUU